AUAUCUCCGCCUCUAUCUCUUCGCCUCCCCCACCAUCACGAAAGACAAAAUUAAAAAUGAGAAUCAGGAACCCUAACUCGAUCUCUUCUUUUUAUCCAUCUAAACUCAUCAAAUGAAUCUGAAAACUUGGAUUCACUAUAACUCUUUCGACCACCGAAAUCUAUAGAGGAAUAUUACUCAUCUAUUGCUGCUACUUCGAGUAUUUCUGCAACAGCUUUUUAUUCAACUAGGUCAAAGUUCAGAUGUUCAAAAUGUUUUGAAACCUCCUCCUGGUGCAGUAAAGGAAUUGAAGUUAGCAAUCAAGAAGAAAACAAAUGAAAUCAAAUAAUAAAAAAUGGGUCAUCAUCAUAUUUCAUGGAGGCAUGUAUGGGGUAACUUCUGCCUUUUGUACCACAAUGAGAAGCUAAUACACGACAAGUCUAUGCUUCAAGAUUUUGGCAUGCGUAUCCAUAGUACCUGGCUUCUCUUGGUUGCAGUCUCUCAUUACUUAUGGCAUGUAGUUAAGGGAAUUAUGUUGUUCGACUUGGUCACCAUUUGAUAUUCUAUAAAUAUAUGCAUCAGUUUGGUCUUUAUAUAUAUUGUUCAAACUUUUCAAAUUGUCCUGGUAAGAUCUUCACAGGCUUGCAAAUUUAGGAGAACUAUUUGUUGUUGGGUUGUUGUCAUUGGUUGACCUAGUAGGCACACUGAAGGACUUCAUGCAAUGAUACAAGCGCAAGCUGAAAGAAUUCAAGCCUAAGAUAAACAAAUAUGCGCACAGAAUGAAUCUAUCAAAAUGAGAAGUUCACACUAAACAUGACCCGGGAACAACAGAAUCUGAUGCGUAGACUCGGGCCAAAUAAUAUUAUCGCAGGUGGAACAACUGAAAAUCGAAUGCCGGAUUAUGUGUCACCUGUCAAAUGUAUUAUAUAUUUUUAUUAGUAGGAGUGGAGUUUAUUUAUACAAUGUUCUUAUUUUGAUAUUGUUUUAAUAAUUUAUUUUAAUGGCUCAUCAUUAUUUUUUAUUCUA